rnacentral:rRNA from 1 species
UACGUAGGGGGCAAGCGUUGUCCGGAUUUAUUGGGCGUAAAGAGCGUGUAGGCGGCUUUACAGGUCCGUUGUGAAAACUCGAGGCUCAACCUCGAGACGUCGGCGGAAACCAUCUGGCUAGAGUCCGGAAGAGGAGAGUGGAAUUCCUGGUGUAGCGGUGAAAUGCGCAGAUAUCAGGAGGAACACCCGUGGCGAAAGCGGCUCUCUGGGACGGUACUGACGCUGAGACGCGAAAGCGUGGGGAGCAAACAGG